rnacentral:rRNA from 1 species
UACGUAGGGUGCAAGCGUUAUCCGGAAUUAUUGGGCGUAAAGAGCUCGUAGGCGGUUUGUCGCGUCUGCUGUGAAAACUGGGGGCUCAACCCCCAGCCUGCAGUGGGUACGGGCAGACUAGAGUGCGGUAGGGGAGAUUGGAAUUCCUGGUGUAGCGGUGGAAUGCGCAGAUAUCAGGAGGAACACCGAUGGCGAAGGCAGAUCUCUGGGCCGUAACUGACGCUGAGGAGCGAAAGCAUGGGGAGCAAACAGG